UUGGAACCCGAUGAGAUCAUGGUUUCACAUUGCCAAUAGGAUAGAUUUUCUCCUUUUAUGCGCAAUCACCUCUUUCCAGGGUUUGCCUCCUGUGGGUUGCUCAAUUCUGAGCCAUUUUUUUGUUUCAGUCAAUAAAGUAUGUGUUCAGUCAAAUAGUUUUGUUUUUGUUUUCAUUACCGCUUUGAUUACGAAAACAUCCGUUCGUUUUGAUAAAG
rnacentral:lncRNA from 1 species